GCCAAUCAUGCAGUCGAGCGAGCUUGCCUAGAUGAUUUUAGUGCUUGCACUAAAUGAAACUAGAUACAAGCGAGCGGCUGACGGGUGAGUAACACGUGGGUAACCUGCCCAAGAGACUGGGAUAACACCUGGAAACAGAUGCUAAUACCGGAUAACAACACUAGACGCAUGUCUAGAGUUUGAAAGAUGGUUCUGCUAUCACUCUUGGAUGGACCUGCGGUGCAUUAGCUAGUUGGUAAGGUAACGGCUUACCAAGGCAAUGAUGCAUAGCCGAGUUGAGAGACUGAUCGGCCACAUUGGGACUGAGACACGGCCCAAACUCCUACGGGAGGCAGCAGUAGGGAAUCUUCCACAAUGGACGAAAGUCUGAUGGAGCAACGCCGCGUGAGUGAAGAAGGGUUUCGGCUCGUAAAGCUCUGUUGGUAGUGAAGAAAGAUAGAGGUAGUAACUGGCCUUUAUUUGACGGUAAUUACUUAGAAAGUCACGGCUAACUACGUGCCAGCAGCCGCGGUAAUACGUAGGUGGCAAGCGUUGUCCGGAUUUAUUGGGCGUAAAGCGAGUGCAGGCGGUUCAAUAAGUCUGAUGUGAAAGCCUUCGGCUCAACCGGAGAAUUGCAUCAGAAACUGUUGAACUUGAGUGCAGAAGAGGAGAGUGGAACUCCAUGUGUAGCGGUGGAAUGCGUAGAUAUAUGGAAGAACACCAGUGGCGAAGGCGGCUCUCUGGUCUGCAACUGACGCUGAGGCUCGAAAG
rnacentral:rRNA from 1 species